GACAGAGGGUGCAAACGUUAUCCGGAGUUACUGGGCGUAAAGGGCGUGUAGGCGGUUAGUUAAGUCUGGCGUGAAAGCUCUCGGCUAAACCGGGAGAGGUCGUUGGAUACUGGCUGACUAGAGGACGGUAGAGGCGUGUGGAAUUCCGGGUGUAGUGGUGAAAUGCGUAGAGAUCCGGAGGAACACCAGUGGCGAAGGCGACACGCUGGGCCGUACCUGACGCUAAAGCGCGACAGCAUGGGGAGCAAACGGG
rnacentral:rRNA from 1 species